rnacentral:rRNA from 1 species
GACAGAGGGUGCAAACGUUGCUCGGAAUUACUGGGCGUAAAGGGUUUGUAGGUGGCUUGCUAAGUCGGACGUGAAAUCCCUCAGCUUAACUGGGGAACUGCGUCUGAGACUGGCGAGCUUGAGUGCAGGAGAGGAACGCGGAAUUCCAGGUGUAGCGGUGAAAUGCGCAGAUAUCAGGAGGAACACCGAUUGCGAAGGCAGCUCGCUGGGACGUUACUGACGCUGAGACGCGAAAGCGUGGGGAGCAAACAGG